AGAUGAGGGAGCACACUACCGUAUGGAAAGUUUGAGAAGGGGCGACGUGACUAAAGUGCCUGUCCCUGAGGAAUUGCUUAAAUGAAGUGCUGGAAAAUCCUCUGUCUGUACACAUAAUCACAAUAUAAAAUUACUGCAGCUGUCAAAUUGAUUUAAAAUGUUUAAUUGUGAUUUAUCUCAGAAUUUUCUUACCAUUUUAGUUCCUUUCCGAUUAAGUUCCAUUUAAGGAACAACAACAACAACAACAACAAAAAAAAAACUAAAUAAUAGGCUUUUAUGUAAUUACUAGGUUCAGCAAUUUGUGUGAAUGAAAUUUAUACAGCAGUGCUGUUUACUUUUCUCACUUACAGAAAACAUUGUGCAUUUAGAUAUUUCAAGUGUCUUAUGUGGGUGCUAGUGAAUUAGAUUAACUAAAAGAUUCAAUUCAAAGGUUGUAAGUUCAAAACCUGGAAGUGGUGAUCCAUGCGUCACAACCACUGUGCCGUCAAGCUAGGCGCUUAACCCCAGGUUGCUCUGUGAGUUGCUUUGGAUAAGACAGUGUCUACUAAAUGAUAAAUAAUCUUACUUAAGUUGAAAGCCUCACAUAGCCAAACGUUUAACUAAACAGCAAACCUAUUUCUCAGCAUUGCAGCUUAUUUUUUGGGCUGGGACCAAUAGAAAAGUAACCUUGACUAAUUUCUUUUUUCUCCUUCUCUGCAGAAGAGAAAUAGUCUGAUCGGUAAGGCGAAACACUCAAUGGAGAAUGAUAAAAAUCUCAGGGAGCGAUUCAUUUUCAUCUGAACUGAGCCACAUCUUCCAAACCGCAGAACCCUUCGGCCAUGUGAAGACUUUAGCCCAAGUUAGGAGCUCAAUUGAAUCCAGAUGUCGCUCCAGCAAUAGCCGUUACUUUCACCACUAAAUCAUUCAGUUCCUGGAGGAAUGAUAGUCAGGCAACUAAAAUGAAUCGCUUGCUCUUAUUGUUAAUCACCCUUUAAUUUUUUUUUUUCUUUCUAUGUGAACUUUCACUUCUUCACAAGUUCUGGAAAAAAUGCACAAAAUGUUCAGUGGUUGUGAAAAUUGGUUGAUUUAGUUCUUUAGUUUCUGAGAUUAAAAUAAUGGUUGUCAAACAAAGUAAAAAAUUUAGUAG
ensembl:lncRNA